rnacentral:rRNA from 1 species
AGCGGCGGACGGGUGAGUAACGCGUGGGAAUAUGCCCUUCUCUAAGGAAUAGCCUCGGGAAACUGAGAGUAAUACCUUAUACGCCCUUCGGGGGAAAGAUUUAUCGGAGAAGGAUUAGCCCGCGUUAGAUUAGGUAGUUGGUGGGGUAAUGGCCUACCAAGCCUACGAUCUAUAGCUGGUUUGGGAGGAUGAUCAGCCACACUGGGACUGAGACACGGCCCAGACUCCUACGGGAGGCAGCAGUAGGGAAUCUUAGACAAUGGGGGUAACCCUGAUCUAGCCAUGCCGCGUGUGUGAUGAAGGCCUCAGGGUCGUAAAGCACUUUCGCCAGAGAUGAUAAUGACAGUAUCUGGUAAAGAAACCCCGGCUAACUCCGUGCCAGCAGCCGCGGUAAUACGGAGGGGGUUAGCGUUGUUCGGAAUUACUGGGCGUAAAGCGCACGUAGGCGGAUUAGUAAGUUAGAGGUGAAAUCCCAGGGCUCAACCCUGGAACUGCCUCUAAUACUGCUAGUCUUGAGUUCGAGAGAGGUAAGUGGAAUUCCGAGUGUAGAGGUGAAAUUCGUAGAUAUUCGGAGGAACACCAGUGGCGAAGGCGGCUUACUGGCUCGAUACUGACGCUGAGGUGCGAAAGUGUGGGGAGCAAACAGGAUUAGAUACCCUGGUAGUCCACACCGA